GACGGAGGGUGCAAGCGUUGUUCGGAUUGACUGGGCGUAAAGGGCGUGUAGGCGGUUGGUCAAGUCCGAUGUGAAAGCCCGGGGCUCAGCUUCGGAAGUGCAUCGGAAACUAGCCAGCUGGAGCGCGAUAGAGGAGGGCGGAAUUCCUGGUGUAGCGGUGAAAUGCGUAGAUAUCAGGAGGAACACCGGCGGCGAAGGCGGCCCUCUGGAUCGUUGCUGACGCUGAGACGCGAAAGCCAGGGGAGCGAACGGG
rnacentral:rRNA from 1 species